UAGAGCUUCAGCAUCUAGUGUUACGCAGACCGCCGGCUGUGAUCAUAACCCGACUGUAGUGCGCACUGAGAACAGCUGCUGAAGUCAUUACCCAUGACCACAAUGCUCUUUUUGUUCUCCGUGUCAGAAUGGUUUUGGCAUUUACAUCUGGACGCUCGGCUUCGAUCUCCAUCCAGACCAGUGUGGGGAAAGACAGGGAGGAGAUGAGGUCACACUCGGGACAUUGCUGUCAGUAAUUGAAUGCUCCUGAAUCUGACAAACCCUUUCAAAUGAGAAUGGGAAGAAUCACAACAGAGAUGUGCCUGUAUGACUCAAACUGUCAUGCCAAUUUCCCAGAGGAAACCUGGUGUGAGAUAAUCUGCUGUUCAGCUCUUUAGAUAAUCAGAUAAGUGGUAAAUAUCUAUGCACUGACAUUUAGCCAACAACAAUCUUUAUUAUAGACUUUAUAGUCUCUAUUACGGUGUCUGUAAUCUCUAGUAUAGUCUCUAUUAUAGUCUCUAUUAUAGUCUCUAUUACAGUGCGUGUAAUCUCUAUUAUAGUCUCUAUUAUAGUCUCUAUUACAGUGUGUGUAGUCUCUAUUAUAGUCUCUAUUAUAGUCUCUAUUACAGUGUCUGUAGUCUCUAUUAUAGUCUCUAUUACAGUGUGUGUAAUCUCUAGUAUAGUCUCUAUUAUAGUCUCUAUUACAGUGUCUGUAGUCUCUAUUAUAGUCUCUAUUACAGUGUGUGUAAUCUCUAGUAUAGUCUCUAUUAUAGUCUCUAUUACAGUGUCUAUUAUAAUCUCUAUUACAGUCUCUAUUACAGACUCUACAGUCUCUACUACACCCUAUAUUAUAGGCUCUAUAGUUUAUUAUGGACUCUACAGUCUCUUUUACACUCUAUUAUAAUCUCGAUUACACUCUAUAACAGUCUCUAUAGUCUCUAUUACAGACUCUAUAGCCUCUAUUACAGACUCCACAGUCUACAGACUCUAUAGUCUCUGUAGUUUAUUACAGACUCUAUAGUCUCUAUUACAGUCUCUAUAGUUUAUUACAGACUCUAUAGUCUCUAUUACAGUCUCUAUAGUUUAUUACAGACUCUAUAGCCUCUAUUACAGUCUCUAUAGUUUAUUACAGACUCUAUAGUCUCUAUUACAGUCUCUAUAGUUUAUUACAGACUCUAUAGUCUCUAUUACAGUCUCUAUAGUUUAUUACAGACUCUAUAGCCUCUAUUACAGUCUCUAUAGUUUAUUACAGACUCUAUAGCCUCUAUUACAGUCUCUAUAGUUUAUUACAGACUCUAUAGCCUCUAUUAUAGUCUCUAUAGUUUAUUACAGACUCUAUAGCCUCUAUUAUAGUCUCUAUAGUUUAUUACAGACUCUAUAGUCUCUAUUACAGUCUCUAUAGUUUAUUACAGACUCUAUAGUCUCUAUUACAGUCUCUAUAGUUUAUUACAGACUCUAUAGUCUCUAUUACAGUCUCUAUAGUUUAUUACAGACUCUAUAGUCUCUAUUACAGUCUCUAUAGUUUAUUACAGACUCUAUAGCCUCUAUUACAGACUCCACAGUCUACAGACUCUAUAGUCUCUACUACACUCUAUAUUAUAGUCUCUAUAGUUUAUUACAGAAUCUAUAGUCUCUAUUACAGACUCCACAGUCUACAGACUCUAUAGUCUCUACUACACUCUAUAUUAUAGUCUCUAUAGUUUAUUACAGAAUCUAUAGUCUCUACUACACUCUAUAUUAUAGUCUCUAUAGUUUAUUACAGACUCUAUAGCCUCUAUUACAGACUCCACAGUCUACAGACUCUAUAAUCUCUACUACACUCUAUAUUAUAGUCUCUAUAGUUUAUUACAGAAUCUAUAGUCUCUAUUACACUCUAUAUUAUAGGCUCUAUAGUUUACUACAGACUCUACAGUCUCUAUUACAGACUCCACAGUCUACAGACUCUACAGUCUCUAUUACACUCUAUAUUAUGGUCUCUAUUAUAGACUCCACAGUCUCUUUUACAGUCUCUAUAGUUUCUGUUACACUAUUAUAGUCUAUUUCACUGUCAGUGAUAGAGACUAUAAUAGAGACUAUAGAGAAUACAGUAUGUUGUACUUUAUAGUCUCUAAUACAGUCUUUAUAGUCUCUAUUAUAUACUCUAUUGCAGUCUCUAUUACAGUCCCUACACACUAAUUUUGCAGUCACUGUUACAGUCUUUACAGUUUCUAUCACAAUUUAUAUUUUUUUACAGUGAAUACAAUCUUUAUUAUAGUCUUUAUUACAAUCUCUUGCUGUCUCUAUACUCUCUUUAUUACAUUCUUUAUUACAGACUAUAAAUUGUAUUACAGUCUUUGUUAGAUUAUCUAUAGUCUUUCUUGCAGGCUUUGUUACAGUCUCUGUUAAAAGUUUCUAAAAUGUAAACUAGUCUUCAUAGUCUGUACUACAGUACAUUAUAUCAGUCUGUAUUAUAAACUAGAUAUGUGCUAUUAGAGGCAAAAUAAUCUACAGUAUAUUACAAUUUGCAAAGCAGUCACUAUAGUUUAUUACAGCCUCCUUUAUAAUCUUUAUAAUCAUUUAUUAGUCCUUCAUGAUAGAAGGACGUUUUGAAGUAUGAGAAGAAGUAGAAGUAGAUACUGUAGGGAAACACUCUUUUACUGAUGCACCCACAGAUUAAACCAGGCAUGUCUCUCUCAUAUACUGAGAUUGUGCUGCCAUCUAGUGUUACAUUUAGACAUUUAAAUUCACUUUAUAAGUUCAUUACACAUCAAUAAAGCUUCAAACAAAGAUUUAUAAUCUCAUGGGUUCCCUUUUGAGUCUCAAAUUUUCCUCUUCG